UUGAACGCUGGCGGCACGCCUAACACAUGCAAGUCGAGCGGCAACAGGGCCUGCAGCAAUGCAGGCCGCUGGCGAGCGGCGGACGGGUGAGUAACACGCAGGAACCUGCCCCUGGGCGGGGGACAACCAAGGGAAACCUUGGCUAAUACCGCAUAAACCCGGGAGGGCAAAGCUGCCCGCAAGGGCGGCACCCGGGGAGGGGCCUGCCGUCCGAUUAGCUUGUUGGUGGGGUAAUGGCCCACCAAGGCGACGAUCGGUAACUGGUCUGAGAGGACGACCAGUCACACUGGGACUGAGACACGGCCCAGACUCCCACGGGAGGCAGCAGUGGGGAACAUUGGACAAUGGGGGCAACCCUGAUCCAGCGAUGCCGCGUGAGUGAAGAAGGCCCUCGGGUCGUAAAGCUCUUUGGGCCGGGAAGAAGCGGCGGAGUUUAAGAGAUGCCGCCGUUGACGGUACCGGCAGAACAAGCACCGGCAAACUCUGUGCCAGCAGCCGCGGUAAUACAGAGGGUGCGAGCGUUAAUCGGAAUUACUGGGCGUAAAGGGCGCGCAGGCGGUUGUGCGAGUGUGAUGUGAAAGCCCCGGGCUCAACCUGGGAAGUGCAUCGCAAACGGCAUGACUGGAGUAGGUGAGAGGGUGGCGGAAUUUCCGGUGUAGCGGUGAAAUGCGUAGAGAUCGGAAGGAACGUCAAUGGCGAAGGCAGCCACCUGGCACCAUACUGACGCUGAGGCGCGAAAGCGUGGGGAGCGAACAGGAUUAGAUACCCUGGUAGUCCACGCCCGUAAACGAUGAGGACUAAAGGUUGGCAGGGGAAACCUGUCAGUCUUGAAGCUAACGCGAUAAGUCUUCCGCCUGGGAAGUACGGCCGCAAGGUUUGAAACUCAAAUGAAUUGACGGGGGCCCGCACAAGCGGUGGAGCAUGUGGUUUUAAUUCGAUGCAGCGCGAAGAACCUUACCUACCCUUGACAUCCUGCGAACCCUGUGGAGACACGGGGGUGCCGCAAGGAGCGCAGAGACAGGUGCUGCAUGGCUGUCGUCAGCUCGUGUUGUGAGAUGUUGGGUUAAGUCCCGUAACGAGCGCAACCCUUGCCCCUGGUUGCCAUCAUUAAGUUGGGGACUCUGGGGGGACUGCCGGUGAUGAACCGGAGGAAGGCGGGGACGACGUCAAGUCAUCAUGGCCUUUAUGGGUAGGGCCACACACGUGCUACAAUGGGGCGCACAGAGGGUCGCGAAACCCGCGAGGGGGAGCCAAUCCCGCAAAGCGCCUCGCAGUCCGGAUUGGAGUCUGCAACCCGACUCCAUGAAGCUGGAAUCGCUAGUAAUCGCGGAUCAGCACGCCGCGGUGAAUACGUUUCCCGGGCCUUGUACACACCGCCCGUCACGUCAUGGGAGUGGAUGGUACCAGAAGCGGGUAGCUUAACCGAAAGGGGGGGCGCCUGCCACGGUAUGAUUCAUGACUGGGACG
rnacentral:rRNA from 1 species